rnacentral:lncRNA from 1 species
AUGUUUUCAUCUCCUAACCUGCAGUAGCUGAGAUCCAACUCUCGUAAGUCUCUCAGACAAAACUGUAACCCUAUGUUGUUCAUGUUGUUGUCACGUAAGCAAGUCUUCAUGUUGUUUUUAGCUAAAGGCUCCUGUGAACACCAUUCUACACCAGGAAUAUUGCUGCAACAACACCUCCAACAAUUAACAAAAAAGUUUGCACAUGAUUCUAUAUAAGAUGCAACUUCUUUCCUUCUAUUAUCGAAAUCAAGACAUGGUAAAUUCUCCAUGUUCUCUUCUUGAAUCUCUGAGAACUUAAAAAGUUUGCUGCACCCUGUGAAUGAAAGGAUCUCAAGUUUCUGUAGUUUGGGAAUGGGUGGGAACCUUUUAAGAUUGAAACAACUUGAUAUGGAUAAGGAAACAAGCCUUUCCAAG